GACGAGCAGUAGCCGACCUGAGAGGGUGAUCGGCCACAUUGGAACUGAGACACGGUCCAAACUCCUACGGGAGGCAGCAGGGGGGAAUAUUGCACAAUGGGCGAAAGCCUGAUGCAGCAACGCCGCGGGAGUGAUGAAGGCCUUCGGGUCGUAAAACUCUGUCCUCAAGGAAGAUAAGGACGGUACUUGAGGAGGAAGCCCCGGCUAA
rnacentral:rRNA from 1 species